ACACAUGGACCUGAUCCAAAGCCCAUUGAGGUCAAUGGAAAGACUCCCUUUGACUUCAGUGGGCUUUGGAUCAGGCCUCAAAGA
rnacentral:pre_miRNA from 1 species